UGUUUAGAUCCUAUCCCAUUCGGAACGAUUAUUUUUAUUUGCGUAUUUUGCCGAACAACAUUUAAAAACAUUUACGGAGCAAUAUUAAUAACAACAUAUCACACGUGCCUUGUUUGAUAGAUAUAUAUCUAUAUUUGUUACUAUAAUUGCUUUAUUACGUGGUAUUCAUUUUGUUAACUUCAUUGCCUUUACAGUGGGUUACUCUAUUAAUUCAUGGAUUUAGUAGUUCUUAAAGUUGCUGUUAAGUUCAAUCGAAGCACAGAAGCUGCACAAAAAGCGAAAUAGAAAUGAAGUUUUUGUUAUGGUUUCAAAAGUCGUCGGAUUGUGUGAGUAACAGCCGAUUAUAUUCUCAGAAAUACGCUACCAACGAUAAUGCUCCUGAGUUGGACAAUAUAUUUGUUUCUCCGUUUAAUGUUUCUUUGUACUUAGUGGUUUGCUUUUAUAUAAAAAAAAACUUAUUCUGUUGUUUAUUAUCUCUAAAUUUUAUGGCUGAAUUAUGAGAAUAAAAUCAGGGAAUCUUAUAAGUUGCCCAGUGAAUAGUCUGGGACCCAUUUAAGCCCUAUUUGCGUAUCCGCCGAGGAUAAUAAAUGAUUACCUAUUUGGAUCCAGUCGCUGCGCACAUAUGGUCUCCCUGCUAAUUGUUUGGCUAAAUGACUUCUUACUCUAAGUGUUGUAAAAUUUACUUGUGAAUUGUCAAUCGCAGCAAUUAGAUGUUUUGCAGUUUAUGAGCUAUAGUUCAUUGUUAGAUGCUAUACAGACAUACGAAGAAGAAACAAUUACAAAGU